rnacentral:lncRNA from 1 species
AGAAAAACACUUUGGCUCUAAAUUGGCCUGGUAGGUAGGGUCAAUCAACCCAGUGGAAUAACCCAGGAAAAAAAGGUAAAACUGUAUUACCAGGUGAUCCUGAAGGGUGAUGGCACAAACAAGCUGCUUAAUCGAGAAACUAUAUCCUCAGGAGAGCGAGAAGGCUGAGAAAGCUCAGGGGAACUACGACCAGAGGCGCUUUCGACAGCCAGCCUGCUGCUGGAGCCACCACCGGAAAACUGCUCAGAGCGGGGGAAACGAAGACGGUGGGAUGGGGGACGAAGUCCUCUCUGCCCACGAAAGGCAACCAUCUCCGGGCCUUGGGCAUCACCCAUGGCUCUCUGGAUCGUAGAGUCAGGAGAGGACGAGACCUAACGACGAAAAAACACCUGGAAAAAAGGGGAGGCCCUACUUUGGGUAUUUGAAGACUCGAUGGGCUCAGAGUUGCCAAUGAGCCGGGCAAAGAAACGAACACACGCUGUGUUUCAAGCGUGAGGGUCUCAGUGCCUCAGUGCACAAGAAACUUAUCUAAUUUUGAAGUCCCGACUAUCCAAGAGGUAGUCGGUAAACAGCCGCUUCAAUGUCUAGAUAGACCUAGACACUGCUGUAAGCCUUGGUCGAACUGGAAACUUCGGAAUCUUCGGAAAUCUUCUUCCGGGGACCACGGGACCUAGCUAAGAUGAAAAAGCGCUGAAAACACCAGAUACUUUGAUCUUAGCCAAAAGGCCGAGAAGCGAUGCCAAAAAUUGGCGUCCGAGGGGGUCCUGUAGCCAA